AAACCUUCAAUCAAUUUAAACAUACAAAUUGUAUUCUAUAUACUAUAUACAAAUGGCUAAUGUCAGUUUUAUCCUGGUGAUGGUGUUAGUAGUGGUGGCGUCUUUGGAUGCAGGAGAGGCGUCGACCUUUCAGUGCGAUGGUCCUAAUGGACACCAGCAAGCAACAAACCUGUGCAGUCCAUUUUCAAGAAGGGGUCAACCAGAGCCGUCUAGUGAGUGCUGCAGAGCGUAUCGAGCAUUCGUUGGACCAGCCGACACCACAGAGGAAAAGAGGCAACUUUGUGCUUGUGUCCAGCGAAAUGCCAGACUUAAUCCAGCCAAUAUUACAAGAGUUGAUUCUCUACCUCACAAAUGUGGAACGCCUGUUGUCUUCUCAGCUGAUCCUAAAUUCGACUGCAAUACGAUAAACUGAGGAGCGCCAAUCACUAUGCAUGGAAAAGCUCGAAGGUCGAGAUUUUAAUAAAUUUUUAUGAAUUAAUAAUAAUCCAUAAAUUUUUAUGGAUUAAUAAUAAGAUUGUACUUGUUAUUGAAUAAAGACCUUGACUCUAUACAUGAUUCAAGGAUGCUAAGAAAUGCAA